UCGGUGUCUUUUUCGUUGCCACCUCUCCGACAGGUCGCUCCUCUCCAAUGCUUGACCAUCUCUAGCUGCUCAUCGCUUAGUUUAUAGGGUUUUAGAAGUCUUUAUUUUCAUCUCAGAGUUUCGGCAAUGUUCUCGAAGAAUCUUCACUAUUUUUACUUCGUAGAGUUUGAAUUUGGGAAGUUUGAUCAUCCAAGGUUGAACAACAUGAGCUUGUAGUUAUUGAUGAACUAGGAACAAACACCUGUUGUGAAUGAACACUGCACCAUCCGACCUUUCUUUUGAAAUUUUAGUAAUGCCCCCACUAUGGUGCAGGUUGGAUAGGUUGUGGUUUGGACAUCCUGACAUUCUGUCGGGUUCUUUGGUAAGACCACUUAUUGUUUGACUUCUCAGUCGUGUUUUGAGGAUAAAGAGUUCAAUAGUUGCUCUGCUCAAGAAUUGUUAGAUCAACAGUCAUCAUAACAACAAUUAUAGCAGGAUGAGAUAGACGUUGCAACUUGGAUGUAUUACGAGAUCGUGGAAGAAGUGAUGAAGAGAAGAGUUUAUGACCUUGGGUUUCAAGAGAAACUGGAUUAUGACUAGGAUCCUACUUUUGAUCCCAAUGAACAUCUCUCGAACACCACAUUAGUUAGCUUUGUCCUUAAGACUCUAUUUAAUUAGUAGAAGAAUUGUUAAUGCUUUAAGAUUUAUGUAU